rnacentral:rRNA from 1 species
AUUGAACGCUGGCGGCAUGCCUUACACAUGCAAGUCGUACGGUAACAGGUCUUCGGAUGCUGACGAGUGGCGAACGGGUGAGUAAUACAUCGGAACGUGCCUAGUAGUGGGGGAUAACUACUCGAAAGAGUGGCUAAUACCGCAUGAGAUCUACGGAUGAAAGCAGGGGAUCGCAAGACCUUGUGCUACUAGAGCGGCCGAUGGCAGAUUAGGUAGUUGGUGGGAUAAAAGCUUACCAAGCCGACGAUCUGUAGCUGGUCUGAGAGGACGACCAGCCACACUGGGACUGAGACACGGCCCAGACUCCUACGGGAGGCAGCAGUGGGGAAUUUUGGACAAUGGGCGAAAGCCUGAUCCAGCAAUGCCGCGUGCAGGAUGAAGGCCUUCGGGUUGUAAACUGCUUUUGUACGGAACGAAAAGCUUCGGGUUAAUACCCUGGAGUCAUGACGGUACCGUAAGAAUAAGCACCGGCUAACUACGUGCCAGCAGCCGCGGUAAGAC